GACGCGACAAGCUGGAUGUCCAUAGGGCGGCCAUCCAAAGGGACGCCCUUGUACUGCUUCAUAGCCUUCAGGGCAUCUGCCCUCCGUUCAAAGUGUACAUCCGCCGUCCCUAAACUUCGUCCAGAGCGAUCGUAGUCCACAGCGGCUUUUUUCAACGUUCCAAAUUCAGCAAAGAGUUCCUGAAUGUCAGCAUCUGACACCCCGAAGUCCAGGUUUGACACGAGCAGCUUGGCACCGGUCUCCACGCCUUCCCCACCCCCGCAGCCGCUGUCGAAUAGGUCGUGCUGCCACUUGUCCGGAAGUGGUUUCGGUCUACUGUACGGUGCCGGCCGGUUCCUGCCGCCGCUGGCGAUGGCGGGCCGGUUCCUCCUAGGCCCGCCGCCUCGAUUCACCCGGCGCUGGCUACGGUUCAGCUUAAUGAUGUCGUCCAAAGACAUGUCCAUCUUGUCGGCCAUGGCGGGCGCGGAUCCGGGCCUGGCUGGCCCGGCCCUCGCGGUGCAGACCAGAUAGGACUCAAAUUCAAAGAUUCCCCCGCCUUGACUCCGCCUCUCCUACCGGUGCUGGAAUCACAAGCGCACCAAAAUCACACUUGGAAAUUGGAAGUCUGUGCGCUUGUGAAUCUGGCUUUCGCUCUGACCCCUGGUGGCCGCCCAGCGCCUAGCGACAUCUGGGACAAAUUCAAGGCACUUCCGGAAACCGAGCGGGCCACGCGGCUUCUCCGCGAUAUUUGCAUACCCACAAUGCAGUGCACACAGAUGGUUGUAAAAUUUAAAAGGGUAACGUGUUGUUUUCGUUGUUCUGUUUUAUUCCUUUUAUUCCUUAAUGUGAUAGAACCUUCAAAGAUUUAUCUGAUACAAUAAAGUAGUCAGUGUCUUUAGGAGUAAAUAGUCACCAUUAGUUGUCUAGGAAAUACAGUCGGCCGAGAACUGUACACUAGGACCGCUGGGUAUACUCUGGUUUCUCUUCAGAUCGUAUAAAUCUUUCGCCUUUUACUAAAGAUUUCCGUGGAGAGGAACAAUUCUGAGUCUUAAGCUAAUUUUUUGAGGCCUUGCUUUAGCAAGGCUAUUUAUAGUGUUGAAAGUUAGAUUUAAUAGUUUUCUUUAUUGUGUGCUCUAAGUAUUUCCUUAUCUUCAGUGUUAAUCGCUGUAAAUGAAAAUGGCUUGAGCUUAGGCUAAAGAGACAGCUCAUUGGUAAGAGGACUCAGCCGCAUGGCAUUGUGCCUCAUAGCCGAUCUCGAAAAUAAGUCUUUAAAAAUAAAUACUAAAGGCUUUAAGUUUUUGUGGGAAGUCAGUAGACAUAUUAUUCAUUAAGCAGUUUUUUUUUAUCUAGCUGCGUAAUGUUGUGGUCUCAGUGAACUUAUGUAUAGACCAUUAUUUUUAAUAUUUUAUUUAAGUGCAAGGUGGUUAUGGACUUAAGGCACGUACAAUUUUCUAGCACUCGCAAGAUGGCUAACCCAGCUCUGUAGCUGAGGAAGAACUAGCGCCCCCUUCUGGCUUCCAUCAGUGCCAAGCAACGCUCAGAUACGCAGGCAAAAUAUUCAUACAAAUAAAGGCAGAUACAUUCUAAAAAAUAAAUGCAGGAGCCACUCGAGCAGAAGGGACAGGUUACCCUCAGAGCUGUGGGAGGGCUAAACUAGGAUGCAAUUCCCCAUCUCCCCCCAGUCCCUCCCCUCCCCAAAAAAAUGAAAAUUACUCUCCCACCCAAGACCUUUUCCUUAAGGACAGAGACUGUCCCUUUGAAAUACCUCAGUCUCCUUAUAGCUAAAAUACCUCAGUAAUAAGAACAGGUAACAAAGUGGCAGGAACUUCAAACACAGAAUGCCCUCGGUCUGCUUGGCAAAGCAUCUUUGGCUCUGCCCACCCAAGUACACUGGAAAGGAAGUUGGUUUGAAGUUUCUCUCUUCCUGGAACAGACUUGAAAUCACGGUGAAAAUGGAAAGGCUCUUAGAUGUCUCCUGGAUGGGCUACUGCACUGACCAGUUCAUUGCCUGCUUCACGCCUCACUUCUGUUCCUACAAAAUUCCCUGGGAUAAGCGCUCUGCAGUGCCCUACCUGGGGCCCACUUCUGCUGGAUAGGAGCUCCGUUUGGCUUCUGUCACAACGCCCACCUGUAACCCUAUAACAAAUCUCCCUUCUAACCUCUCAGAAAUUCCUUCUCUGCGUUUGCAAAACAAAGGACCUGAAAGCCAACGGUUUGGGUGCCUCUAGUGGCCAUUGGAUAGCCUGACACCUUAACACUCCAAGCUAUCCAUGACUGAAGCAAGAAAGUUUCCAAAGAUACUUUCCCACUUUUCUUUAUCAUCCUCAGUGUCAUCAAUAGGUGAGGGCGAGAGUAUAGGGAGUUCACAGUCCAGCCUGGGAUACUUGCCUAAAGAAAACAAUAAAAUAAAGAAACAGGAUGGACAUACCAUGGAUAGCCGAACAUGUCCAGCAGAGAACAAAAGAGUGUUCAUAAUUGCAUCAGUUGCUUUCCUGUUGCUGUGAUAACAAAACCAAAGAAAAGUUCAUUUUGGCUUAGGAACCCAGAGAGAGAAUCCAUAACAGUAGGGGGAGGCAUAGCAACAGGGGGAUGGAGCAGAAAGCAGAUCACAUCUUCACCUUUAAACACAAUGCAGAGAGAAUAAACCGGAAGCAAGGAAAGGCUAUAAACUCUCAGAGCCCACCCCCCAAUCGACAUCCUUCUGCUAACACAGUCAGACCUAAAGGUUCCGUAUCAGUCCCCUACCCAGCACCACUAACUAGAGAUCAAGUGUUCACUCACCCAAGCUCACCAGGGACAUUUCUCCUUCAACCCACCACAAUAAUGGAAUUUGAUUCUUCUGUGGAUAAUUGUAGGCUUGGGUUGACCUCUAAGGGUUGUUUUAAGGUUUACAAAUUCAUGAUAACACAUGGAGAACAUGUUAGAUACAUAUUUAGUUUUUUAAGUGUUGGGCUCACUGUCUGCUCCUGAUCCAUGGAUAAAAUAUAAUUGAAGGAAAACCAAAGCAAGACUUCUUGCUUGGGAGAAGAGUGGUCAGAUGUAAGGAACACUGUAGGUCAGAGAACACCACCGCUAACCCAAGGUCCAUUCUAUACAUUUUAGGUAGGAUUUCUGUUGCUCUGAUAAAACGCCAUUAGUCAGGAUUCUCUAGAGACGCAGGAAUCACAGGAUGUCUCUAUAUAUUAAGGGAAUUUGUUGUGAUAACAACGGGCAGCUGUGAAUGGGAAGUCCAAGCAUCUAGUAGUUGCCACGAGGCUAGUUAUUUAAGCUGGUCUUCUGUAGAAGUAGCUUUCAACAGUCGUACUGGCAAGAGCAAGCAGUUGAAGAAGAGUGAAUCUUCCCUCUUCC
ensembl:antisense B930036N10Rik RIKEN cDNA B930036N10 gene